AGGAUAGUAGUCAACCAUGAUAUCUGAUUUGCAUUUAGAAGGUAUUACAUUAAGUAAUCUAUCUUA
rnacentral:tRNA from 1 species